UACGUAGGGGGCUAGCGUUGUUCGGAAUUACUGGGCGUAAAGCGCACGUAGGCGGACUACUAAGUCAGGGGUGAAAUCCCGGGGCUCAACCCCGGAACUGCCUUUGAUACUGGUAGUCUCGAGUCCGGAAGAGGUGAGUGGAAUUCCGAGUGUAGAGGUGAAAUUCGUAGAUAUUCGGAGGAACACCAGUGGCGAAGGCGGCUCACUGGUACGGUACUGACGCUGAGGUGCGAAAGCGUGGGGAGCAAACAGG
rnacentral:rRNA from 1 species